GUGACUGUAGCACAAUGGUAGUGCACCAGCUUGUGGAGCUGGCUGUUGCGGGUUCGAAUCCCGUCAGUCACCCUA
rnacentral:tRNA from 1 species